rnacentral:lncRNA from 1 species
GAAAAGUGAACUAUAGUAUUAUACUGAUAUAUGUGCAAACCCAAGUAGUAAAUAGUUCCACUCCUAAAGGCAAAAUCUUAUGUAUCCCAAUUCAAGCCUAUAGACAAUUUAAGGCAUGCUUGAUUAGGCAGACACAAAACAGAGAACAUGUUGAAAAUGGAGUGAGAAUCCAAAGAUUUUAGUCCUAACCUGAAUGAGCAAUCAAAGCAUAUAAUUUCUCACUUGACUCGUAGAAAUGAAAGUAAGAAAGCUAAAAAAAAUAUGAUGACCACUUGACUCUUGCACAUGCGACCAGGUACCGUUACUGCAAAAAGAAAAAUCAUUGUAAAUUCAAGUUUUUAAUGAAGUUAUACAAAAGUAAAUUCAAUUAAAAAAGUAAUAACAUAAUUUAUUUAUAAUUGUAAAUUCAAGUUUUUAAUGAAGUUAUACAAAAGUAAAUUCAAUUAAAAAAGUAAUAACAUAAUUUAUAUUUACGGAUAAACUUAAUAAGUUACUUCUGUUGUGGUGAUUUUUUUCCUCUUCAAUAAGAAUCGUAGCAACUUAAUGAAGGGAAUCUUAAAAUACUUAUAACAAAAAGAGACAGUUGUGGAUGUCUUUACAAUGCCAAGCAAAUCAAGUAAUCAUAUAUCAAAUCCCUAAAUAAAUCAAUCAGCUUGAUCCUCAAUGACUAUUUCAAAUUUCUGUGCCAUCAAAGUUUUAAACCAUAAAGACGUCAAAUCAGAAAUCCUGUUAUAAAUAACAGAUAUAUGUAAUUGUAAAUCAUAAUACCAUUGAAAAUUUGAAGGACUUGAAUACCAACAGAACUAAGGAAUUAAGCAAAAUAAGUAUAACAUAACAUAAUCAAAUCCAUUGAAUAAACAUAUUUAUAUAACUAGAAGAAAAAAAAAACAUCGGUAUGCGGCAAUUCGCCACACAACAUGAACAAUGAUUAAUGAUUCUCAUUUCUAAGUUCUAAAACUAGUUCUUAGGUAGCCAAGCAAUGUUCAUAUUCCAAGUACUUACUAUUCACUCUUUGCUCUUCACAAUACUAACCUAACUAUGUUGACAACUAUAAUUAUAUACAUCCUUUUUAAAAGAAUUGGCUGAUGACUAAUUCAACAGCUAUAAUGAGAGGGAGAGCUACUUUGGAAGGCAAAAACAUUCAGUCUUUUGCUUAAUUAUUCAGUAUACAUAUUUAUUUUCUAUGUGUAUGCUCUAUUCAACAUGCUUAUUCAACAAGCUCUUUAGUACUUGUUUCAGCCAUUAUUUUGUAUAUAAAAUGUAAGCAACAUCCCUAUCAUCUUCCACAUAAUUAAUUAGAACAAAAUAUAAAAUGACAAAAGUUAUUUACCUCUACAGACGCUUUCCCCAUUCUUUCAACAAAUAUUGAAUAAAAGUCACAAACCAAAGGUAGGUAGCAGUUCACAAUUUCAUGCUCAGAAAUUACAAUUCAAGAGGGAGACUAUGUAGUUUGGUGACAGUUUGGUUUGAUGAAGCCGAAAUGCUUAUAUUAUUCUGCGGAUAACUCUUAAUAUUUCGGAAGUCAACUUGAUAAUAGGCUAAUAGAGUAUAAUAAAGACUUUACUAAAACUAACAGUAUAUAUCUAUGUAACAACUCAUUCAUAUAAAGAAUGUUAUAUAAAAAGUUAGAAUUGAUUAUAAACAAUACUGACCAGCAAUUCCUUGGAUGAGUUUGUCUCAGUAGUCUUUCAUCCUUCAACUCCAGUUCACAACAAUACACUGAUCAUCAUCAACUCCAAUUUUGUUCUCAACAUAAUCAAGAAUAGCAAUAGGAAAACAUUUUCAGCACACCAAAAGCAAUAGAAAGAAAAUAAAAUAACAUAAGAAAAGGGAAACAUGUAAAAGGAAGUGAAAGGAAGAUUAACCAAUCAACACAAUUCAAUUCCAAGACAGUAUUCACGGUAACCAUUAAUACUGGAACUUUUGAUCUGGUAUAAAAUACACCAUGAACCUAUACCAAAGAGACAAUUGAGCACACAAGGGUAAAAUAAAAUAAAAUACAAAAGCUAGCAAAAAAGCAUUGAGAAAAAACUGAAUAUGCAUCUGAAAUUUAAGUGACAUAAUUUGCAACUGUAGAUUGAUUGUCACAGAAAAGCACAGUUCCAAUUGCAAAACACCUAUAUAAUAAAAAUUAUUAACAAUAACAAAUAUCAGGACUUCACAACUUGCACAUAUCCCUUCUUCCACACGCUACGUGGCCUGUGCAAAUUUCAAUUUUUAAUUGUUAGGGUCACACAAUCCAUUGUGCUGCCUUCCUCAAUUGGCACACUAUCUUGUCCUCUGAUUCUUAGAUAGUUCAAUUAUUUCAUCAACAGGAAAAAAAGUGUCAUAGUAUCCUAAUAGAAAGUUCAUGAUCAACCCCUUCAAAGUUCAAACAAUUAUUCAAUAUGAUAACCAAGUAAAGUAUUGUGAUUCCGCAACAUAUUACUAAAAUAAUGUGGUCUGAAAAUGAGCUCAAAAGAGUACGAAAAAUUGGAGCUUAGACAAUUAAAAGCUAAGCAUUUUAACUUAUAGCACAAGCCUACUACUAACAGAGUGACUUCAUGGCCUCAUCAACAUUCUUCUUUAAAAAAUAUGAAUGAAUGUAUAACUGCCUCAUAUGUGACAACAGAUGGCUUAAGACCCUCUUUUAUCAUCUUUUUCAUCACCUUACUAGUAGUUGCAAAAUCUCCAGCUUUGCCAAGGUAAGAAACCAAUUUCUUCUUCUUACAGAACCCACUUAUGAGAACAUAGUAGCAAGUUAUAUGCAUGGCUUUUAUCAAUAUUGUUCACACCACAGAAUGCAGAUAUCAACACAGUAUAAGUAACAACAUUUCCUUUCAGCUUUGCAGAACUCAUCAAUCAAGCAAUUAUAUGACACAGUGUUUGGCCUAUUUUUCUUCUCCGUUUUCAUCUCUGCCAGCAAACUCAAACCAUCUUCUACCCUCCCAACUUUACUAAGAUUGUCAAUCAAAGUAUUAUACAAAACCACAUCAGGUUCAACACCAAUUUAUCAAACACCCCCAACGCCUCAUCGAUCCUCCUAGCCUUGCAUAUGUGAUUAGUAAAAAUCUCAAAGGUUAUACCACUGGGCUCGUAUUUUUGUUUCUUCCAUCUCUGCCAACAGUUUAAUGAUAUUUUGAAUGUCUCUUUGCCUUCCGAUCCCUGUGUCAACAAGGCAUUGCAAGAUGCCGCUUCAACAAGACCACCCAAUUUCAUCACACCACCCAAGGUCAUUGAGGGACAAUAUUUUCAUUCUAAUUUAUCAAGAAUUUAGGAUUAUAUACACUCAAAUAUCAAAUUUGUAUCUAUGGUCGUCGAGGCACAAUACUGUCAUUCAAUCCCAAUUUCAUAUGAAUAGCAAUUCAUAUUGAAUGUCACUUUUAGGGUCAAGAAUUUAUCUCAUUAUUAAAUUUUGGGACAUCCAAAAAUGCUCUCAAUUUCAUAUGAAUAAAAAAUUCAUAUCAAAUGCCACAUUUACGAUCAAUAAUCUAUCAUAAUUAAAUUUCAGAUCAUCCAAAAAUACCAUCUCAAUUUCAUAUGAAUAAAAAAUUCAUAUCAAAUGCCACAUUUACGAUCAAUAAUCUAUCAUAAUUAAAUUUCAGAUCAUCCAAAAAUACCAUCUCAAUUUCAUAUGAAUAAAAAAUUCAUAUCAAAUGCCACAUUUACGAUCAAUAAUCUAUCAUAAUUAAAUUUCAGAUCAUCCAAAAAUACCAUCUCAAUUUCAUAUGAAUAAAAAAUUCAUAUCAAAUGCCACAUUUACGAUCAAUAAUCUAUCAUAAUUAAAUUUCAGAUCAUCCAAAAAUACCAUCUCAAUUUCAUAUGAAUAAAAAAUUUCAUAUUUCAAGCCAUAUUUCGGGUCAUGAUUUCAUCUCAUAAUUAAUUUUCGGGUCUUCCAAACAUAUUAUCUCAAUUUCAUUUCAUAUGAAUAAAAAAUUCAUAUUGAAAGCUACAUUUUGGAUCAAGAAUUCAUUUAUUAAUUAAAUUUCGGGUCUUCCAAACAUACUAUCUCAAUUUCAUUUCAUAUGAAUAAAAAUUCAUAUUGCAAGCCAUAUUUUGAGUCAAGAAUUCAUCUCGUAAUUAAAUUUCGGGUCAUCGAAUCACAAUCUAUCUCAAAUUUUCAAUUUGAUUUCUUAUGAAUAAAAAAUUAAUAUCAAAUGCCACAUUUACGGUCAAGAUUCGAUCUCAUAAUUAAAUUUCGGAUCAUCCAAAAAUACCAUCUCAAUUUCAUAUGAAUACAUUUUUUCAUAUUUCAAGCCACAUUUCGCAUCAUGAUUUCAUCUCACAAUUAAAUUUCGGGUCUUCCAAACAUAUCAUCUCAAUUUCAUUUCAAAUGAAUACAAAAUUCAUAUUGAAAGCUACAUUUUGAGUUAAGAAUUCAUUUCGUAAUUAAAUUUCGGAUCUUCGAAACAUAUUAUCUCAAUUUCAUUUCAUAUAAUAAAAAAUUCAUAUUGCAAACCACAUUUUGAGUCAAGAAUUCAUCUCAUAAUUAAAUUUUGGAUCAUCCAAUCAUACUAUCUCAAAUUCUCAAUUUCAUUUCAUAUAAAUAAAAAAAUUCAUAUCGAAUGCCACAUCAUUUACGGUCAAGAAUCUAUCUCAUAAUUAAAUUUCGGGUCGUCCAAAAAUACCAUCUCAAUUUCAUAUAAAUAAAAAGUGUAUAUUGCAAGUCACAUAUUUGGUCAAGAAUUCAUUUCGUAAUUAAAUUUCGGGUCUUCCAAACAUAUUAUCUCAAUUUCAUUUCAUAUGAAUAAAAAAUUCAUAUUGCAAGCCAUAUUUUGAGUCAAGAAUUCAUCUCGUAAUUAAAUUUUGGGUCACCGAAUCACAAUCUAUCUCAAAUUUUCAAUUUCAUUUCUUAUGAAUAAAAAAUGCAUAUCAAAUGCCACAUUUACGGUCAAUAAUCUAUCUAAUAAUUAGAUUUCGGAUCAUCCAAAAAUAGCAUCUCAAUUUCAUAUGAAUAAAUUUUUUCUUAUUUCAAGCCACCUUUCGGGUCAUGAUUUCAUCUCAUAAUUAAAUUUCGGGUCUUCCAAACAUAUUAUCUCAAUUUCAUUUCAUAUGAAUGAAAAAUUCAUAUUGAAAGCUACAUUUUUGGUCAAGAAUUCAUCUCGUAAUUAAAUUUCAGAUCUUCCAAACAUAUUAUCUCAAUUUCAUUUCAUAUAAUAAAAUAUUCAUAUUGCAAGCCACAUUUUGAGUCAAGAAUUCAUCUCGUAAUUAAAUUUUGGGUCAUCCAAUCAUACUAUCUCAAAUUCUCAAUUUCAUUUCAUAUGAAUAAAAAAAUUCAUAUCGAAUGCCACAUCAUUUACGGUAAAAAAUCUAUCUCAUAAUUAAAUUUCGGGUCAUCCAAAAAUGCCAUCUCAAUUUCAUAUGAAUAAAAAAUUCAUAUUGCAAGCCAUAUUUUGAGUCAAGAAUUCAUCUCGUAAUUAAAUUUUGGGUCAUCCAAUCAUACUAUCUCAAAUUCUCAAUUUCAUUUCUUAUGAAUAAAAAAUUCAUAUCAAAUGCCACAUUUACGGUCAAUAAUCUAUCUCAUAAUUAAAUUUCGGGUCAUCCAAAAAUACCAUCUCAAUUUCAUAUAAAUAAAUAAUGUAUAUUGCAAGUCACAUCUUGUGUCAAUAAUUCAUCUCGUAAUUAAAUUUCGGGUCUUCCAAACAUACUAUCUCAAUUUCAUUUCAUAUAAAUAAAAAAUUCAUAUUGCAAGCCAUAUUUUGAGUGAAGAAUUCCUCAUAAUUAAAUUUCGGGUCAUCGAAUCACAAUCUAUCUCAAAUUUUCAAUUUCAUUUCUUAUGAAUAAAAAAUUCAUAUCAAAGGCCCCAUUUACGGUCAAUAAUCUAUCUUAUAAUUAAAUUUCGGACCAUCAAAAAAUACCACCUCAAUUUCAUAUGAAUAAAAAAUUCAUAUUUCAAGUCACAUUUCGGGUCAUGAUUUCACCUCAUAAUUAAAUUUCGGGUCUUUCUCAAACAUAUUAUCUCAUUUUCAUUUCAUAUGAAUAAAAAAAUUCAUAUUGCAAGCCAUAUUUUGAGUCAAGAAUUCCUCAUAAUUAAAUUUCGGGUCAUCCAAUCACAAUCUAUCUCAAAUUUUCAAUUUCAUUUCUUAUGAAUAAAAAAUUCAUAUCAAAGGCCACAUUUACGGUCAAUAAUCUUUCUCAUAAUUAAAUUUGGAACCAUCCACCUCAAUUUCAUAUGAAUAAAAAAAUCAUAUUUCAAGUCACAUCUCGGGUCAUGAUUUCAUCUCAUAAUUAAAUUUCGGGUCUUUCUCAAACAUAUUAUCUCAAUUUCAUUUCAUAUGAAUAAAAAAAUUCAUAUUGCAAGCCUCAUUUUGGGUCAAAAAUUCAUCUUAAUUAAAUUUCGGGUCAUCGAAUCACAAUCUAUCUCAAAUUUUCAAUUUCAUUUCUUAUGAAUAAAAAAUUCAUAUUUCAAGUCACAUUUCGGGUCAUGAUUUCAUCUAAUAAAUAAAUUUCGGGUCUUUCUCAAACAUAUUAUCUCAAUUUCAUUUCAUAUGAAUAAAAAAAUUCAUAUUGUAAGCCUCAUUUUGGGUCAAAAAUUCAUCUUGUAAUUCUGUUAUUCUCAAAUUUAUUUCAUAUGAAUAAAAAAUUCAUAUUAAAAGCCACAUUAUGAAUCAAGAAUCUAUCUCACUUUUGGGUCAUCCAAACAUAGCAAUAGACUUGUCUAAGGGUACAUAUUGCAACUUUUGAAUUUUUAUCAACCUUUUCGGUCAAGAAUCAUCAAGAUUAUACAUUCUUGGAUAUAAUACGUUAAUGUUGCAAACCAAAACCUACCCCAAAACAUUUGUGUCAAACACAGUUUUGGAGACAGAGAAUGUUUGCUCAAUAGAAGAAGAGAAUCAAUAGAUCAGAAACCAAAGGAUAAUGGGUUGAAAAUGAAAUAAAGAGAGAUUUACAUAUCUUUUAUAUCUGGUUUUCGAAUGAAGCAAAUCAUGGAUAACAGAAACAUGAAUCCAAAUAACAAAGUCUUGAUUUCGUUGUCAUCAUUUUACGGCACCAAUUCAAAUAAGAAUUCUAGGGUUCGAAUGACCAAGAUUCAUAGAGAUCGGGCGUUCUUGGUUGAAUUUCAAGAACAUGAACGGGAACGGAAAGCUUUAUAUUUUAUUUCGUAUCACCAUCUCUCUCUUUCUUGUGACUAUGGGAUCAUCUUUUUCAUGGCAGCAAUUCAAAUAAAGAUUUCUAGGGUUUGAAUAAUCAAAGAAAUUGAGCGUCAUUGAUUGAAUUUCAAGAACGGGAUGUUACCGUUACCGUCAACGUCGCAACGAAUAAUAAACAAAUAAAUUGUCUCAAAAACAUCAACGGCAAACACCGCUAGAAUCGAUUAAUGCAGAAGAUUGAAAAUUGAGAAGGAGAAAAAGAGAUAUCAAAUUCAAGCGAUUAGGGUUAAGAGGACACACCUCUUUAUCAGUCUUUCUAUUAUUUCCCACUGAUGAAGCAACCGCAGACUUGAAACCCAAGGAAUGAUAUGUUUAAUUGGUACUGCUCGAACCUAUUUAUAAGGUUAAAAGUUCGGUAUUUGUCAAACAAAAUAACGUUAAAUCG